rnacentral:tRNA from 1 species
GGGGGUGUGGCGCAACGGUAGCGCGUCAGAUUCCAGAUCUGGAGCUUCCUGAAGGCUGUGCGUUCAAAUCGCACCAUCCUCA